rnacentral:rRNA from 1 species
GAUGAACGCUGGCGGCGUGCCUAACACAUGCAAGUCGAACGGAGUCCAGCCUUUAAGACCUUCGGGUCAAAGAGGGGAAGACUGAGUGGCGGACGGGUGAGUAACACGUGGGCAACCUGGCUCAUAGAGGGGGAUAACAGAGAGAAAUUUCUGCUAAUACCGCAUAAGCACACACUGCCGCAUGGCAGAGGGUGAAAAGAGAAUCGCUAUGAGAUGGACCCGCGUCUGAUUAGCCAGUUGGCAGGGUAAGAGCCUACCAAAGCGACGAUCAGUAGCCGAUCGGAGAGGAUGAACGGUCACAUUGGGACUGAGACACGGCCCAAUCUCCUACGGGAGGGAGCAGUGGGUUAUAUUGCACAAUGAAGGGAGCUCUGAUGCAGCGACGCCGCGUGAGUGAAGAAGUAUUUCGGUAUGUAAAGCUCUAUCAGCAGGGAAGAUAGUGACAGUACCUGAAUAAGAAGCCCCGGCUAACUACGUG